UAGAGUUUGAUCCUGGCUCAGGAUGAACGCUUGCGGUAUGCUUAACACAUGCAAGUCGAACGGUGUCUUCGGACAUAGUGGCGGACGGGUGAGUAACGCGUGAUUUUCUAGCUUCAGGUCUGGGACAACCACUGGAAACGGUGGCUAAUACCGGAUGUGCCGGAAGGUGAAAGGCUUGCUGCCUGAAGAUGACCUCGCGUCCGAUUAACUAGUAGGGGGGGUAAAACCCUACCUAGGCAACCAUCGGUAGCUGGUCUGAGAGGAGGGCCAGCCCCACUGGGAUUGAGACGCGGCCCAGACUCCUACGGGAGGCAGCAGUGGGGAAUUUUCCGCAAUGGGCGAAAGCCUGACGGAGCAAUACCGCGUGAGGGAGGAAGGCUCUUGGGUUGUAAACCUCUUUUCUCAGGGAAGAACACAAUGACGGUACCUGAGGAAUCAGCAUCGGCUAACUCCGUGCCAGCAGCCGCGGUAAUACGGAGGAUGCAAGCGUUAUCCGGAAUGAUUGGGCGUAAAGCGUCCGCAGGUGGCUGUGUAAGUCUGCUGUCAAAGAGCAAAGCUCAACUUUGUAAAGGCAGUGGAAACUACACGGCUAGAGUGCGUUCGGGGCAGAGGGAAUUCCUGGUGUAGCGGUGAAAUGCGUAGAGAUCAGGAAGAACACCGGUGGCGAAGGCGCUCUGCUAGGCCGCAACUGACACUGAGGGACGAAAGCUAGGGGAGCGAAAAAGAUUAGAUACCCCAGUAGUCCUAGCUGUAAACGA
rnacentral:rRNA from 1 species